rnacentral:rRNA from 1 species
CUAUUCGUUCACUGCCAUUUCGCCCAGCACCUCUGGUGCUUGUUCAGGUCUUCGAUUGGGGCACAUUUUACUAUACCGGAUGACUCUGACGGCUGCACGGAGGAGUGGUGGCUGCGCGCGAGAGCAGGCAUUUCCAAGCCAAUGCGCAGGAACUUCGACACUAUUACAAUUCUGUUGCACUGGAGGCUGUGGAAAGAGAGGAACUUCAGAGUUUUUGACUAAGUGGCGAGCAGUGCUGAAAGAGUCCUGGACUUGAUACGGGAAGACAUAGCAAUAUGGCGCUCAGCAGGCUGCAUAGCGGACCUUGGUUCCUAG